rnacentral:rRNA from 1 species
CUCGUAGGCGGUUCGUCGCGUCCGGUGUGAAAGGCUACGGCUCAACCGUAGUAAGCUCUUGAAACUGGGAAACUUGAGUGCAGGAGAGGAAAGUGGAAUUCCUAGUGUAGCGGUGAAAUGCGUAGAUAUUAGGAGGAACACCAGUAGCGAAGGCGGCUUUCUGGACUGUAACUGACACUGAGGCACGAAAGCGUGGGGAGGCAAAACA